AUGUGUUCAGUGUUAGAAGAUCAGUUUUCUAGGAUGCAAACUGCGAAUCAUCUUUUGUUGAUAAAGGACUACGUGAGUUUGCUUGGAGUGACUUUGCGCAGAUAUGGGUAUCCUGUGGAUGCUUUAUUAGACGUUUUGAGCAAGCACAGGGAUAAGUACCAUGAGUUAUUGUUGUCUGAUUGUCGUAAGCAGAUUGCUGAGGCACUCGCUGCUGAUAAGUUUGAGCAAAUGUUGAUGAAGAAAGAGUAUGAAUAUUCAAUGAAUGUGCUUUC
rnacentral:misc_RNA from 1 species